rnacentral:lncRNA from 10 species
GCUCAGCUCCUGGCAGGCAGUGUGUGUGGCUUCUCGAAACUGUCUGUGAAGUUUGGAAGAAAGUCCUGACUAGGUUAGGAAAAUAAGAAAGACAGUCCAUGGCACAGCCAACAAAAUCUGUGUAUGAGUGUCUGCCCCGUAAAGACAGGCCACGAAGUCUGCACCUGGUUCAAAUUAUCCGACGCAUCCCUCCCAGGGGUGGCAAUUCUGAUGUGACUGAAAAAGUGUGAAGGCUUCUUAAUCCUGCAGAAAAAUCACACUUUCCAUAGUAACAGCUCAUUCCUGGUUUGGAUCUUAAGACUUGGGCCUGGCAGGCAGGUCAGUGCUCUGAAAUCCUAGAAGGGAAGAUUUACCAACUCUCCCAUGGUAACUGUCUGGAAACUGACUGGCCACAGUGAGCAUGGGCUCCUAUCUUCUGGGUCAGGCCUCAGCCAACUCUUUUGCUCCCCUCCAUCUCUGUGGGCCACCUCUCUCUGUUUCCCAUGGACACGUCUUUUCCAUUUUCUGGAAGCAUAUUUGAGAAAAAGAAUCAAGAAAUUAUCGCUUUUUUUUUUUUUUGAGAUGGAGUCUCACUCUUUUUGCCCAGGCUGGAGUGCAGUGGCGCAAUCUCAGCUCACUGCAACCUCUGCCUCCGAGGUUCAAGCAAUUCUCCUGCCUCAGCCUCCCGAGUAGCUAGGAUUAUAAGCAAGUACUACCAUGCCCGGCUAUUUUUUUGUAUUUUUUAGUAGAGACAGGGUUUCACCAUGUUGGCCAGCAGGCUGGUCUCAAACUCCUGACUUCAAGUGAUCCUCCUGCCUGGGCCUCCCAAAGUGCUGGGAUUACAGGUGUGAGCCACCAAGCCCAGCCGAGAAGUUUUCUCUAGCUCUGCGUGCAAUGCAUUCUGGGCAAUAUAGAUCUGUUAUAAGGACUUGGUGAAAGGGGGUCGGGUAGGGAGACACAAUGUCCUAAAAUGUAGGAGCUGGAACAAUAAGAGCUGGCAUUUAAAAAAAAAAAGUUUUCAUAAACACCAGCCUUGGUGCCUCAUUUCAUUUACUCCUUACCACAAAUGACUGGAGGUAGUUUCCUGAUUUUAUAGGUGAAGGCCGGUUAAGUAACUUGUCCCUGUCCACUUGUGUUGUAAGUGGCAGCACUGACAUUCGACUCAACCCCAUCUCAGCCCAGGGCCCAUGUUCUAUCACUAAGCUACCCACAAAAGGACUUUGGAGAGCACCUUGCUUA